UCACCGUGUCACCCUGCAGGUCCCCAAACGGAGGAGGUUGGGGGAUGAAAGCGAGGAGGGGGAGAACAGCCUCUACCAGGCCGUCGUCGGGGGGAGGGCGGCUGUGCAGGCUGUGGCAGACGAGUGGUUGGAGGACUACAAACGCGACCGCACCGCUGCCUUCCUGCAGCUGCUCAACUUCAUCGUCCGCUCCUGCGGCUGCCGAGGGACGGUGACGGCGGCGAUGCUGCGGGAGUUGGACAACGUGGGCAUCAUCCAGCGGCUGACAGAGAGCUUCCAGGAGGUGGGGACAUCAUGGGGACAUGAUGGGACAUCAUGGGACAUCGUGGGGAUGUGGGGACAUCGUGGGACAUCAUGGGGGCAUCAUGGGGACGGGAGGAGGAGGAGAGGUUGGAGGAGCUGCCGUGGGGUCGGGCUGUGGGAGCUGUGGGGACAUGGGGACAGGACCACCGUGUCACCUCCUGUCACUGUCAUCCCCUGUCCCCGUGGUCACAGUGACACCAGAUGUGACAAGGAUGGUACCAUCACGUCACCCUGUGCUUGUCCCCACGGCCACAGUGACAAGAGGUGACACAAGGAUGGUUCCAUCAUGUCACCACACCCUUGUCACCCCCUGUCCUUGUCCCCAUGGCCACAGUGACUCCAGGUGACACAAAUGGUUGAAUCCAUCAUGUCACCACACCCCUGUCACCCAUCCCUGUCACCCCCCGUCCUUGUCCCCAUGGUCACGGUGACUCCAGGUGACACAAGAAUGGUACCAUCUUGUCACCCAUUCUUGUCACUUGCUGUCCUUAUCCCAUGGCCGCAGUGUCCCCAGCUGUCACAAGGAUG